rnacentral:rRNA from 1 species
UACGAAGGGGGCUAGCGUUGCUCGGAAUCACUGGGCGUAAAGCGCACGUAGGCGGAUUGCUAAGUCAGGGGUGAAAUCCUGGAGCUCAACUCCAGAACUGCCCUUGAUACUGGCGAUCUUGAGUCCGGGAGAGGUGAGUGGAACUGCGAGUGUAGAGGUGAAAUUCGUAGAUAUUCGCAAGAACACCAGUGGCGAAGGCGGCUCACUGGCCCGGUACUGACGCUGAGGUGCGAAAGCGUUGGGAGCAAACAGG